rnacentral:piRNA from 1 species
UCAAGGCACAGAUUUCAGAGAACAGA